rnacentral:rRNA from 1 species
CGGAAAAGAGUUCGAGAGCAGAGGUUUGAAAAAUAAAUUUGGGUGGAUCUUUUCGCUUCGGGGGGGUUUGUAGGGAGGAGAGGAGACGGAGAGCGUCUCAGUGGUUAGAGUGAGGGGGUGGGUUGGUUUUCGGUUUUGCGUGUGGCGGUGCCGCUCGAUACCUGCGGCCGCGCGAGGUCGAGCGGCGGCGGCGGCAACGGUAGCAGCAGCAGCGGCGCAACCAUACGUCUACCAAGGAACACCGCACGCGCCAGCCCCAGGCCUUCGUCUCUGGCGCCGAGGGCGGCCCGUCGUGCCCCGACGGGGACUAGCCGCUCUGCGACGCCGACUAGAGACGUAUGUUCUGCGGGUUGGGCCUCGGGAAGUAACUGCUCGCGCACCGCGCCGUGCCCCCGCAGAAGUGGUGGGUGUAGAAGCCGCUCGCGUGGCAGAAGAGGCGGCUGGGCCGGAAGUUGGCGGAGGAGGAGCGGCGGCUCCCGGCGCGGCACUCGACGUCGAUGGGAAGGAGGUAGUGGUGCGAGGAGCCGCGCGUGAGGGACGAGGAGUUUGCCCCGUGGCGGGUGUUCGCGGAGGUGAGCGAGUGGGAGUGGGCGGAGCCCGCGGGGCGGAGCGUCGGGGACGAGCGCGUGUAGCUCGCGGAGCACGAGCGGUGGUACGCGGUCACCCUCGGGUGGCGGUGGCACGCAGAGGAGCUGCUCCGUUUCUUCUAGUGGAAGUUGGAGUGGCAGUUCGUCGAGCAGUCGUAGCUCGGGCCCGGUACCUGGCUCUCGGAGGCGGCGCUUAUGCAGUUCGAGUAGCUACCGAAGAAGAGGUAGGGGAAGGGAAAGCGGAGUAAGGAGGGGAAGUGGUGGAUGCCGGUCCGGGAGUUCAGCUCCUUCUUCCACCGGCCUCGCAACUCCCUCCACUAUUCCUUCUCCUACCUCCUCUCUCCUCUCCUCUUACCCCAGUUCCUCCUCUACCUGCCUUUCUCCCUCUUCUUCCUGUACCACCUCCUCGAAGAACUCCGCCUCCCACCCUCGAAGAGCCUCCUCCUCUACCACCUGAAGACGGACAGGGACGAACAACGACCCAUGCUCUGGUGGAGGCAGGAGUACUGCCACCGGCAGUUCAAGGAGUGGCUCUGCGGCCGCCGCGACCGUGUCGAGUUCCUUCUCGUACUUUUAUACUGUUUCUACUUUCCACUUUUAGUUGGGGAUCUCACCCAGCUAAUGUUCAGUUACUGGAAGUGGGUUUCACACUAGUUACUCUGUGAAGCACACCGAUUGUAUUAGCCACCCCAUAAGUCCGCUCGUUUGUGACUAUAAGUAAAAUUUCCAAUGUGAUAGGGCUUCCCGACGUUUUAUAAACGAAGCAAGGCUCGACACGUGGAGUUGUUACUUGUGAUACUCUUACGGGCCUGCAAACUGGGUACCUCUACCGUCUCGUUGUUGUUUGAAGUCUUGCUCCAUCCCCGGUUGAAUAAAUGAGGGAAACCGCCACCUGGAGCCAACACGGGACCGAUGCUCGAGCGAGCCCAACAGUAGAGACAAAAGGAGGUAGUAGAACAUGACGCGAAAUCGACCCUUCGCCGACUCCUUCUAUCCGAGCAGAAGAAGGGGUGGUGAGCUUGGGAGUUUCCUAUAGGCUAGUUAGAGUCCGCCGCUAGCCUCAGACAAACUGCUGGAGUGUAACCAGAACCCGACGAGAUAGAACUUUCGCUUUAAUUUGUAUCUACUUCCUUCUCUUUCCUUUAGCCGUUCUACGCAGCAUGAUAAUAGUCGUUCUACGCAACGAUUCUUUGCUC